AUGCUCUUUCUCUGUCGUUCUCGUUCCUGUUCCGUCGCCCAGCCAUCCCCCUUCCUCUCUCUUUCUCAUCUGUGCGUAGUUCCCGCGGUGGUGGUCGUCGGUGACCACGCUCCCCUUCAGCCGUGGCCAGGAGACCGGGUGCAGCCCCACCCUCCCUCGGCUCCUGCGACCGAAGCGCCGGCCCGAGCGCUCGCCCUCUUCCACUCCGACAGCCAAAUCACCCGGAUCCCGCGUCCUCUUCCACUCCGGCGACCGGAUCCCCUCGAGUUUGCGGAACACCGGAUCUGUCCAGGGCGAGGUCCUUGUCCACGGAUCCGGCCGGGAGAAAUCAUUUUCUUCAUUGUUUCCGUCGGUGAGGCUGGAUCACACCUCAUGUACUUAAGCUUUUAUCUUAGAUGGGUUUCGUCUGUUCUAGAUUUGCACGUUUUUUGGCAAUUUCAAGUUUGUUCCUUAUAUUCCUUUGGUACGGCUGAUUUGGCUGCAUGGCUCGAUCCAGAUGUAUACCAUUUGUGUUGA
rnacentral:rRNA from 1 species